rnacentral:tRNA from 1 species
GACAUGGGUCUGUAGCUCAGCUGGUUAGAGCACCGUCUUGAUAAGGCGGGGGUCGUUGGUUCGAGCCCAACUAGACCCACCAAAUCUUCCGAACAUAAGAUGCGAGGAUCAGUGGGGGAUUAGCUCAGCUGGGAGAGCACCUGCUUUGCAAGCAGGGGGUCGUCGGUUCGAUCCCGUCAUCCUCCACCAACCAAUAUGUCCUGCGGUAGGGCAAAGAAACUAACACCAAAGCGGCUUCGCAAGAGGCCUCUUUGUUGUUGGUCCGGUAUAGACCGGGUCAAUCGGCUGUUCUUUAAAAAUUCAUAGAGUCGAAUCAGCGUUGCCGGCGGAAAGCAGGAAACUGCACCGUGCCGUCGGCAACAAAAAUUUGAUUGCGUCAAAACGAAUAUUCAAUUGAGCGAAAGCUGAUUGAAGUUCAGUAAUGACGAAUUGUUCUCUAGGUAGCAAUACCGAAGAAGUCACAUUACGGCAUAACGCGCGAGGUGAAACACCU